rnacentral:rRNA from 1 species
AACGCUAGCUACAGGCUUAACACAUGCAAGUCGAGGGGCAUCAGUUUGGUUUGCUUGCAAACCAAAGCUGGCGACCGGCGCACGGGUGAGUAACACGUAUCCAACCUACCUCAUACUCGGGGAUAGCCUUUCGAAAGAAAGAUUAAUAUCCGAUAGCAUAUAUUUCCCGCAUGGGUUUUAUAUUAAAGAAAUUCGGUAUGAGAUGGGGAUGCGUUCCAUUAGUUUGUUGGGGGGGUAACGGCCCACCAAGACUACGAUGGAUAGGGGAACUGAGAGGUUGGUCCCCCACACUGGUACUGAGACACGGACCAGACUCCUACGGGAGGCAGCAGUGAGGAAUAUUGGCCAAUGGGCGAGAGCCUGAACCAGCCAAGUCGCGUGAAGGAAGAAGAAUCUAUGGUUCGUAAACUUCUUUUGCAGGGGAAUAAAGUGCAGGACGUGUCCUGUUUUGUAUGUACCCUGAGAAUAAGGAUCGGCUAACUCCGUGCCAGCAGCCGCGGUAAUACGGAGGAUCCGAGCGUUAUCCGGAUUUAUUGGGUUUAAAGGGUGCGUAGGUGGUUUGAUAAGUCAGCGGUGAAAGUUUGCAGCUUAACUGUAAAAAUGCCGUUGAAACUGUCGGACUUGAGUGUAAAUGAGGUAGGCGGAAUGCGUGGUGUAGCGGUGAAAUGCAUAGAUAUCACGAAGAACUCCGAUUG